rnacentral:misc_RNA from 1 species
UUUCCGUAGGUGAACCUGCGGAAGGAUCAUUAUCUAUCUCAAACCAGGUGCGGUCGCGGCCCCCGGGGGCUUGCUCCCGGGUGGUAGGGGUAACACCCUCACGCGCCGCCUGCCUGUACCCUCUUUUUACGAGCACCUUUCGUUCUCCUUCGGCGGGGCAACCUGCCGCUGGAACCAAAACAAAACCUUUCUUGCAUCUAGCAUUACCUGUUCUGAUACAAAUAAUCGUUACAACUUUCAACAAUGGAUCUCUUGGCUCUG